CAGUUGCCUACCUUGUAAAUGUUUGCUAGCUGAUUAUUAGUCUGGUAAAAGUAUGAGCUUCUUUGUUGCUGCCCAACGUACAUAUGGAUUUGAUGCAGCUAGCUGAGGGCUUUAACUCUUGUUUAGUGUUUUAUGUUCGCGUAGUUGCUGUCCGAUGUGGCACGUUGUUGAAGCCUAUGCUGGUAAAAGAUCUUUCUACAUCAAGUUCAAUUGACCGUUCCUUGGUGCUGAUGUUGUGUUACCGAAGUUGAAUCAUAUUUUGUUAAAUUGUCAUCGUGACUGUUGCAGUUUACCGUUUAUAAGUUCAGAAGCAACAAAAACAAUUAUGGGAUGUUUAUGUCAAACAAAUAAUAAACAUGUUUUUGGGGUUGGGAAGGGAAAGUGGUGGAUGUUGGAGGAUAUUUCAAGUUUGGAUAAAAAUUCAGUUAAUCUUAAUUAAACGUAUCCCUACCAAUUAAUCUCCAAACCCCACAAACAUAUGCCAUCCAAUCCUUCAAACCCCGAAAACAUAACCUACCAUAUCAACCCUUAAAUCUAUACCCUCUACCCUAUAAACCAAUGUUAAACCUUAAUCAUGUAACAUCUGUAAUAAAUAAAAAAUACAUUUCAUGAAAU
rnacentral:lncRNA from 1 species